UACGUAGGUGGCAAGCGUUGUCCGGAUUUAUUGGGUUUAAAGGGUGCGUAGGUGGUUGGUUAAGUCCGUGGUGAAAGACGAUCGCUCAACGAUUGCAGUGCCAUGGAUACUGACCGACUUGAAUGACGUUGAGGUGGGCGGAAUUGACCGUGUAGCGGUGAAAUGCUUAGAUAUGGUCAAGAACCCCAAUUGCGUAGGCAGCUCACUGGACGUCGAUUGACACUGAGGCACGAGAGUGCGGGGAUCAAACAGG
rnacentral:rRNA from 1 species